rnacentral:rRNA from 1 species
CCUACGGGUGGCAGCAGUGAGGAAUAUUGGUCAAUGGACGCAAGUCUGAACCAGCCAUGCCGCGUGCAGGAAGACGGCUCUAUGAGUUGUAAACUGCUUUUGUACGAGGGUAAACGCAGAUACGCGUAUCUGUCUGAAAGUAUCGUACGAAUAAGGAUCGGCUAACUCCGUGCCAGCAGCCGCGGUAAUACGGAGGAUUCAAGCGUUAUCCGGAUUUAUUGGGUUUAAAGGGUGCGUAGGCGGUCGGAUAAGUUAGAGGUGAAAUCCCGAGGCUCAACUUCGGAAUUGCCUCUGAUACUGUUCGGCUAGAGAGUAGUUGCGGUAGGCGGAAUGUAUGGUGUAGCGGUGAAAUGCUUAGAGAUCAUACAGAACACCGAUUGCGAAGGCAGCUUACCAAGCUACUUCUGACGUUGAGGCACGAAAGCGUGGGGAGCGAACAGGAUUAGAUACCCGUGUAGUC